rnacentral:misc_RNA from 1 species
UAUUAGAUUUUUAUUUCUAAACUUAAAAUUCCUGGUGGAUCUGAUUGAUAUGGGAUCACUUGUUAAUUGUAAGAUUUUAUUUGCAUCUUUUUAGAGUACAUAAUUGGGUGAAUCUUAGAAAAAAAGAAACUAUAGAAUGUAUUUAUGGGGCAAUAACAAUAAAAUCACCAAGUAAAUUCACAAAAUCAAGUGUGAGAGAAAGACAAUCAAGGUACAUUUUAUAUAGAAAGAUAGGGAGAAGGAGAGUACUUGAAAAGAAUGAUUCAACUCAGUCCAUUUUAUGACAGGGUAGCGCGUCAUUGUUUGAAAACAAAACUCAUAACAUCAAAAAAAUUGCUGCAAUAAGUGCAAUACCAAAGGAUACCCUUGUGGUUGUUGCAUCAGAAGCAUCAGCAGGGGUAUCAUCAGAAGUUGUUGCGGGUGUUUUUGCAGGAAUGACCUUGUCAAGCUUUGAAGGUGCAGGAGCUGGCGCUGUAGGUGCAGCGAAAAGGUCUAAUGGAAGGAGGACCUGAUCCACUUGAUAAACAGCUAACUGCCCAUCUGUAUAUAUAGUGUUAGCCACAGUUGCAGUAUUAACACCUGUUGUUACAUUCACUUGAUUUCCUGAUGUUGUCACAUUUAAUGGGAACUCACCAUUAGCGCUAUUACCUGCCUGCGUACGCAAAGGAUUACUCACAGUUUGAAACUGCGACAUGGAUAUAAAACUAGGAAGGAUGUGAAAUUGCACCAAUUGGACUUUUUCCUGGUCUGAAAGAGAGUUUAGUGUGCCUGCUUUGAGAUUAGCGAAGGCAUUAUCAGGUGGUGCAAAUAUUGUAAGGCCUUGAUUUGAAUUGUUGAGUUGUGUGUUGAUUUGGUCAGCUUCCUGAGUACUUUUCAUUAUCUUAAUAAAGGUUGUGAACUGACCAGCCUUUUCAAGGACUGCUGUGAUGUUGGUUGGACCUGAUGGGGCUGGGGAAGGAGUUUGAGCAGAAGAAGUUGAGCAAUAGAGGAAGAAGAACAUCAAGAAAAGAAGGAAUGGGGAGAAAAGUAGCUUUCUCAUUGUUGUAGGUAUUGAAUGUGGUCUAACUUUUCUGUUUUGCUAGACAAGUAGUGAUGAGGAAGAGUGAGGUGUGGGGAGAGGGAAAGGAGGGGGCAUAUAUAAUGGAGUGGGGGAAGAAGAGAUGGUUAGUGGCUG